rnacentral:lncRNA from 1 species
AAAACUCUGACCUCAAGGAUCCUAGGAAGCAUGGAACACCUCAAACUCCAAUACCGAUCACUGCCGAAACAUACUUGCAAGGUAAGCAUUAUCCGAAUUCAAGUUCUAAUGGUUCUAACUUAGCUUUGUUCUUGGCAGAUGGUCCUGAUUUGAGGACAAAUCCUUUUCAACUGGGGGAGUAUGAUGUGAUACUGAGUAGCAUCAAGAAAGGAGGGCUUGAACCAGAGCAUGGAGCUAAGGAUCAGCUUGUAGCCGAGAGAUAUUGGUCUAAAAACAAAGGAGCUAAGGCUAAUAAGCUCAAGGAAGGCAUUGGCGAGAUACCUACUUAUCUAUGGAACAAAGAAGAUCGCUUGAGCCCGGCUGGAGAAGAUGGAUCACAAACCACACUGGUUUUGAUUCAGGCUCAAGUAGAUCAACAAUUGGGUAAGUGGCCCAGUUGUACUCUUUUUCCCUUACCUUUGGUUUUGUCCCAAUGGGUUUUCCAAAGGAAGGUUUUUAAGGAGGCAAUGGUGUCUACUUCUCUCAAGGCCCAAUUGUUGAUUCAAGGACUUAAGCCCAAGACAAAUUUCGUCCAAGGGAAGUUCAAGAGGCUGGAGAAGUGACUUGAAGAGUUAUUCAAACUUUGCAUUUAUUUCCUUGUCAUUUUCGAGUUUGCCUUGUUUUUCUACAUUUCUUCUCUUUAAAUAAUCUUGUAAUCUCUUAUGAGAACUCAUCCUGGAUUGGAUCAUCAAACUUUUAUCAAAUAAACUCUCUCUUUCUCUUUAUCAAACUUGGACGAAAU